rnacentral:rRNA from 1 species
CAGUCGCCACGGGAAUACGUAGGGUGCAAGCGUUAAUCGGAAUUACUGGGCGUAAAGCGUGCGCAGGCGGUUAUAUAAGACAGAUGUGAAAUCCCCGGGCUCAACCUGGGAAUUGCAUUUGUGACUGUAUAGCUAGAGUACGGCAGAGGGGGAUGGAAUUCCGCGUGUAGCAGUGAAAUGCGUAGAUAUGCGGAGGAACACCGAUGGCGAAGGCAAUCCCCUGGGCCUGUACUGACGCUCAUGCACGAAAGCGUGGGGAGCAAACAGGAUUAGAUACCCCUGUAGUCCCUGUCUCUUAUAC